rnacentral:tRNA from 1 species
GGAGAGGUGUCCGAGUGGUCUAAGGAGCACGCCUGGAGAGCGUGUGUGCCCCAAAAGGGUACCGUGGGUUCAAAUCCCACCCUCUCCGCCA